GACAGUUUGGCCGAGUGGUCUAAGGCGCUGGCUUAAGGCGCCAGUGUGCCAUUGGCCAUGCGCCAUUCCGAAAGGGCGCGAGUUCGAAUAUCGCAGCUGUUA